GGGUGUUUGUGUGUGGGGGGUUAUGUUAAUCCGGGCCAGCAGGGCAUUAUGGGGGUGUGUUUUGGGAGUAUUAGGGGGAUCUACCAUCACUGUGCAGUUUAGCCACCUGAGGGGUUUUUGGCUGUGUUUAAUAGAUCGGGUUUUACUCUUCAAGCACUUUUAAGAGCUGUAAGCGAGCAGUAUCCUGUUAAUAAAGAGCUUCUUGCUAAGAGCAUGCUUCCUGCUUCUUCAUCUCCCUGCCGGUCCCGAACCCUAGGAGUGAAAAACUACAGGGGGCUACGUUGAGCCCAAGCUCUGGUGAUCACCCUAUGGGAGAAGAAGUGGCCAUUGUUACAGACAGAGCACGGAUCUCUCGGCCGCAAAAAUAACAGCUGAUGAUGAUGCUGAUUCUCACCGAGAGCCUGGUUUGGACCUUGAGAGCAACUAUAAUGAAACGAUCAAGAUACAGCGUCAAGGAGAAUGGCAACCACAGCACUUUCACAACAACAGAAGGGAGUUUUUCCUUGCCACCGCGCUCAUUGCAAAGUGAUCUGCAGUUUAAAAACUGCCCAUUUUGGUUGAGUUGGUCAUGGCUGGCUGUGUUAAUUGUUUCUAUUCACUCAGCUCAGUAUCUCUGCGUAGACUGUGUAAUGUCAUACAAAAAGAUAAUAAUAAUAAGAAAAAGAUGAAACAACAAUAUUACUUUUAUUAAAGAGUUGUACGUCCUGAGUCAGAAUAUAUUGAUAAAGUCCCAGCGCAAAACUGUAU